AGGAUGAACGCUGGCGGCGUGCCUAAUACAUGCAAGUCGAGCGGUAAGGCCACUUCGGUGGUACACGAGCGGCGGACGGCUGAGUAACACGUAGGAACGUACCCCAAAGUGAGGCAUAAGCACCAGAAAUGGUGUCUAAUACCGCAUGUGGCCUAACAGGCUAAAGCUCCGGCGCUUUGGGAACGGCCUGCGCAUGAUUAGCUUGUUGGUGAGGUAAAAGCUCACCAAGGCAGUGAUCAUUAGCUGGUCUGAGAGGAUGACCAGCCAGACUGGGACUGAGAACGGCCCAGACUCCUACGGGAGGCAGCAGUAGGGAAUUUUCCACAAUGGGCGAAAGCCUGAUGGAGCAACGCCGCGUGCAGGAUGAAGGCUCUAGGGUCGUAAACUGCUUUUAUCUGUGACGAAUAUGACGGUAGCAGAUGAAUAAGGAUCGGCUAACUCCGCGCCAGCAGCCGCGGU
rnacentral:rRNA from 1 species